rnacentral:lncRNA from 1 species
CCUUUCCUUGAGAGAUUGCUUGUACUUGAUUCAAAGGCCCCACAACAAUCAGGGUCAUUGACACGCCAAAAUUGACAGUGUUGGGCUACUCGUCUGCCGAUCUCCGAACUUGUUAUUGGAUCCAUAAUUGUUCAGGUACAACCGUUUUCUCCUUCUCAUUUUUCUUGAAACUCACAUUUUUUUUGCUAUUUUUAUUGAUGUGUGUUCGUCUGUCAUUCAGAAAAUGAUUCCCACAAGCUUGACUUCUUCUCUGCGCACAGUGAAGUUCUUAGAACUAGAACCUAUCGGCCCCAAUCUGGCUGAAGUUGUUGGAUUCCUUAGAUACUUUCCAUCAUGGAGAAGCUAUGCAUCAAGGUGAAGCUCGGUUCUUAUUAAAUGUUAAGCACAAUG